rnacentral:rRNA from 1 species
GGUAGCCCUACUUCGCCUCGAUUU